UUAUUUAUCUUGGACCAGGAAAAGCAACGCAGGCUAAUAACAGGUUAUUUUCUUUUGUUAAUCUGGUCCCAGACAAUUGGUGUUUUACUGAGUCACUAAGGUGGCUUACUGUCAGAAACCUUUCAGUUUCAUGUGGCCGAUCAGUGGCUGGAGAUCAUCCGGAGAAGUUAUGGCGCCAUUUAAGCUUAGCAUCCCAAUUACAGGCCAUAUAUAUGAUGUUUUAGUGCUGGCACAAUCAAGGGUGACAGAUUUCGAGCAUCUUGGCUUUUUUCCUGUAAUUUUCCCGAAAUGCUCCAAUUCAUAUAUCUACCUGCCGGGCUAUUCUCAGCUCGACAAAGGUAUUAUUUUGGUGUAUAGUUUCAGGUAAAGCUCUUACAAAUUAAAGGUUGAAGGUGGUUUUACUGAUUA